rnacentral:rRNA from 1 species
GUGGGGAAUAUUGGACAAUGGGCGAAAGCCUGAUCCAGCCAUGCCGCGUGUGUGAAGAAGGUCUUCGGAUUGUAAAGCACUUUAAGUUGGGAGGAAGGGCAGUAAGUUAAUACCUUGCUGUUUUGACGUUACCGACAGAAUAAGCACCGGCUAACUUCGUGCCAGCAGCCGCGGUAAUACGAAGGGUGCAAGCGUUAAUCGGAAUUACUGGGCGUAAAGCGCGCGUAGGUGGUUUUGUAAGUUGGAGGUGAAAUCCCCGGGCUCAACCUGGGAACUGCCUCCAAAACUGCAUGACUAGAGUACGGUAGAGGGUAGUGGAAUUUCCUGUGUAGCGGUGAAAUGCGUAGAUAUAGGAAGGAACACCAGUGGCGAAGGCGACUACCUGGACUGAUACUGACACUGUGGUGCGAAAGCGUGGGGAGCAAACAGGAUUAGAAACCCUAGUAGUCC